rnacentral:rRNA from 1 species
UACGUAGGGUGCGAGCGUUAAUCGGAAUUACUGGGCGUAAAGCGUGCGUAGGUGGUUUGUUAAGUCUGAUGUGAAAGCCCUGGGCUCAACCUGGGAAUUGCAUUGGAUACUGGCAGGCUAGAGUGCGGUAGAGGGUAGUGGAAUUCCCGGUGUAGCAGUGAAAUGCGUAGAGAUCGGGAGGAACAUCCGUGGCGAAGGCGACUACCUGGACCAGCACUGACACUGAGGCACGAAAGCGUGGGGAGCAAACAGG